GACGUCAUACGAAGAGUGCAGAUGGAUCAAUACGGUCGACAGAAGUUUUAACUAUCUGGAGUGCGGAUAAAUUUUUACUGAGAGUCGUAUAGGAAUCUAUAAUCUGGGGAGCAUCUCGGAAGCCAUGCCGGCUGACGAGUUCGCUGGAAAUCGAAACAGAAGCAAACCAAGACUGCAACCACCUUAACGAACCGCUAUUAUCACUGGCAAGGUCAUCGGGCAGACCGGAUCUAAUCAUGCUCACGCCGACCAUGCUUCCUGUGCACUCGUUCCUCUUUCUUAACGACGUCAACCAGAAGAUCGGGUGGUAAAAAAUUCGAAAUCGAGUUGAUUGAAAAUCUCAAGGAAUAUUAAAAAAAAAUACGAAUAAACAAUUUGAUAUAGAAAUCAUCCAUUUUGGGCAAAGAAAAGAAACAAUCAGAAAAAGGAAUAACCACAGAAGCUCUGAAUUUCAUUGCUUCCUAAUGGUACUUCCUUGGAUAUUUUUACAUUCUGGAGGCGUGAACGAACUCUGAAAAACAGAAACGACUUCUAUCGGAUGAUCGAAAGAACUACCUGGACACUGAGUAUAAUUAUUCACACGUGCGGAUGCCAUUUCCGGCAUGUUUCUCCAUGAAGAAGGUCAGCUUCAGUUUUUGCCACUUGUAGAUAGAAGUUGAAGUGGCGGACGUCUUAACGAGGUUGCUAGAAUGUCAAAGAAAUAGAUGAGGGAAAUAUUAUGAAGAUAUAUUUAUGAAUAUCUAAUUGAGCAUUUAAUUAAGAACUUAAUCGAAAGACCAAAAUAAGUUGGUUCUUGAGACCAAGUACCUAUCUAAGUAUAAUAGUCUUUUGUACUUACGGUUUAGUAAGAGGACUCGAGUAAAACGAUUACUCGUUAAAAGGAACAAUAGAAUAAUCAUGCCUCCGCAGACGGUGGUCUCUGCUUUCAUGCCUCAUCGCGGAGAAUCUCAGCGAAAAAAGUAUCCCGAAGCGUGAGCUGAAAGGUGGCUAUGUAGGCUGCCUAGUGAAUGCCGUCGCCAUGGUGGAGCUGGCGUGUAGCAACUCCCUAAGUCCAGGAAUCUAAUCCCGCGUCAGAAAGACAAAAUUCGCUACGGAGAAAAGUAAACAAAAAUAUAUAUAUAGGGAAGAAGAGACAAAGAUUAAAGAUCGUUAAGAAUUAAAGGUAAUUUAAUGAUAAAAGGGAGAAAGAAUUGUGUAAAAAUUCUACUGGGAAAGAAAAGAAAGAAGAAGCCUCCAACGAGAAAGACGUGCUCAGAAGCGAGUCCCGCGUAGCGCCAUGUAGAGGAGCAGGAAGAAAAUAUUGGUAAUCUCCUCGAACGACGAGCGCUUGAUAUUCACAAUUAGAACUCGAUAUCUUAGCUUCUUAUAAUAUCCUAAUAAAAUGUUAUUUAUCGAUUACAA